rnacentral:rRNA from 1 species
GAAGAAGCUCCGGCUAACUACGUGCCAGCAGCCGCGGUAAUACGUAGGGGGCAAGCGUUGUUCGGAAUUACUGGGCGUAAAGGGUGCGUAGGCGGUUCUCUAAGUCUGGUGUGAAAUCUCCCGGCUCAACUGGGAGGGUGCGCCGGAAACUGUCGGGCUUGAGUGUGGGAGAGGAGAGUGGAAUUCCUGGUGUAGCGGUGAAAUGCGUAGAUAUCAGGAGGAACACCUGUGGUGUAAGCGGCUUUCUGGACCAUUACUGACGCUGAGGCACGAAAGCGUGGGGAGCAAACAGGAUUAGAUACCCUGGUAGUCCACGCCCUAAACGAUGCAUACUUGGUGUGGGCGGUUC